UCACCAAUAGAAGGUUAGGUCACAUUCGAAAACAUAAAGUGAAUAGGCCCCAUAACAUCAUUGAGGAUGUCAAAUGUGCCGAUUGGAAAUGUCAUCAAAUGUCAGUAGAUUUUUGUUUUCUUUCAUUCUCUCCUUCUUUCUCUGAAAAAAAACUAUCUGUUUUGUUAUUUGCUGUUUGUUAAACAAGUUAAAACAAGCUCCAUGUAAGCAAUUGGUUAUUUAAAGGCGCCAAUAACUCGCUUUGUCAUAUCGAGUAUCACAGGCACUCAGUAUUUAAACAAGAAUAGGCCGCCCGGCAUCUCACUGAGACUCUCCAUUCGAUAUCGCUGAUUGCGCGAGACUGCAACCUGUGGAAGCGCCCAGUUGAGCUUCUCGUAAUGACGAUGAGCACCACACAAUCGUAGAUUAGAGUUCCAACCCGUGUGCUGCUCAUGGUCAUCCCGUACCAGAAUUGGUUUUGUUACUGCCUUCAAUGCUGUUGAAAUUGCCACAUGUGAAUCUUUUUGGAAGUUAUAUUGAUGAUUCGUCCAUUGAGGUAAAUUCCACCCUAAAUAAAGUGCAAAAUAUUAAUAUCAAUAAGUUCCCUUGAACUUGCUAUGGGACAUCUUACUCUUCUAAACAAUCGGACUUCUUUACCAAGACAAAAAAAGGUUUCGCUUUUUGUAAUAGCACUUUUCUAUUACUAAAUGAUACAACCUCAUCUGGAAGGAAAUGGUCACCGCAAAUAAAAUGUUUGGCUUCCAGUUCAAUGCCACACAAUUCGCUCCAUUCCUGCAGGCUGACCAAAUCCUUCGGCACACUAAAGAACGGUCCAUUUAUUUUGUGGUCCUGCUUGUUGCACAAAGCACACCUACGCAUUUUUCUUUUUAUUCCUUUAAUAUUUUUUUUAAUAAAACGCGAAAUUUUUUGUA